UACGGAGGUGGCAAGCGUUGUUCGGAAUUACUGGGCGUAAAGGGCGCGUAGGCGGCGCGGCAAGUCAGGUGUGAAAGCCCCGGGCUUAACUCGGGAACUGCAUCUGAAACUGCCAUGCUUGAGUCCUGGAGGGGUAGUGGAAUUCCCAGUGUAGCGGUGAAAUGCGUAGAUAUUGGGAGGAACACCUGUGGCGAAGGCGGCUACCUGGACAGUGACUGACGCUGAGGCGCGGAAAGCUAGGGGAGCGAACGGG
rnacentral:rRNA from 1 species